CUUCACCUGUGGGAACCCUAGCGUUUCCUUCCGCCGCUUCUUUCCCGCUAUCACUGCCGGCGAGAUUUCCGAUUGAAGAUACUAUACCUUCUGACCAUGUCCUUGCAACGGAGACCGAUGCAAUUUUAGGUUUCUCCUCUGUUCGAAUCUCCCCGCUGCUGUUGUUGCCGCCGCUGUCGCCCACCGAGUUUUCGGUGUAGGUGGCGCGGUCGAGAGCGAUAGUUGCUGAGGCUCUUCCGCCUCCACCGCCUCCGCCGUUUCGGUUUGCAUUCCGGGCCUGCCUCGCUUUCUUCAUCUCUUCCCACCACUCCGGGAACCCGUGGAUGUGAAAACAUGUCUCCUUGGUGUGUUUCUUCCCUCCACAAUGGCUACACACUAAUUUGCUCUUGUCUUCUUCACGUCGGUGGCUCGGAUUCCUCGGACGUUGGUGGUUUUGCGAUGUUGGUGCUCGAUUUCUGUCAAAUACGGCGAGUCCCAUUCCGAUUCCAGAUUGUUUGGUUUCUGGAUUGAGAAGCUUCUCAUUGACGGAUUCCCGUCUAACUAGUCUGUAUGCUUUCCUUGUUGUCGGGAUUGGAUCCAUAUUCAGGAUCUCUCUCUUGAUUUUCCCAUAUCUGUGGUCAUCUAAUGCCCAUACAAACUGGUAUAAUCUGUGCCUCUGCGUGUUCUGAUUAUAUUUCUCGAUGCUGGAUGGAGUGUCCAUCGGGUUUGGGUCCCUGGUCUGAGAUCUGGAAUUGGUCGGCGCCGCUUCCGUACGUUGUGGCCAGACUAUCCCACAAGUCGUAGGCCGUUUCGUAUUGGGAGACCUCAUUGACGAGGCUGGCGUCGAUGUUGUUUAUGAUCCAGUUGAAACAGCAAUCGUCCCGCUGCUGCCAUCGAUUGUAGUUUGGGUCAGUCGGUGGGAGAGGAUCUGUAACUCCGGUUAUGUGAGAUGCCAGACCUUUCCCACGGGUUCCCCUUCUCAUCAGUUUCGCCCACAAGGGAUAGUUAUCCCCAUUGAGUUUUUCUGCCAGGCGCACCUCGCCUAGUGAUUCAACCGAUGAAGGCUGUUGGUUUGGGUUUUUCUGAGACAUACUCAGUCUCAUGAAUUCAGCGAAUUGUUUGGCUGAAAGGGUUAUCGGUUGGUUGUUCUUUGGAGGGUUAUCAGAUUCAGAAUCUGACAUUGUCGCUAGUUGUGUUUUGCAGGUUUCAAAAGGUCGGGGAAGGUACUCGAGACUGUGAUGAUAUUUUUCUGAGUCUCAAGCCGGAAUAAACCUGCUCUGAUACCAUCUUAAAGAUGGUAAUCGAGAGAGGCGAAAUUCUUAGAAUAAGGCAUAGUUUAGAGUUUUGGGAGUAGAAGAUGUUUUGUAUUUCUCUGAUAUAUUUUACAAUGUAAUUCCUCACCUCAUUAUAUAGGUGUGAAUAUGAGCUAAGUAUGGAAACACAAUUAAUUGUAAUCAAUCUAUUCUAGGAUAAUAUGUAAUUGAAUCAAUCCUAGUCAAUCAAUUAUUCUCUGCAAUCAA